GGACGGACAGGCGUUUACGCGCGACGCAUAAAGUCCCCGUGUACACGCGCGAACACGCACUGAAAUUGUUAACAAAAAACAUUGUCGUCGCGUACGCGUACCCUGCGGAAUAUUUUGGUUUUUUUUUUUUUUACCCAUUUCACCGCUACAGCCGCGGUCUCUCGGGUUUUUAGGACUCGACCGCUCCCUCCCCCUACCCCCUCGGCGCAUUGAUCGCGGCGGCGAGCCGGAGUAGGUGACCAUAACAAUCGUAACGCGAACCCGCGCUGACAAUAUCACAGUAAUCGCCUGUAUGUUCGAAAAUCCGAACGCCCCGUUCUGGCGACGGCAUAACGAUCGGUUCGCUCCUCCCGUCCGCGACAGACGACCGUGUUCCUCCGCAGCCCCGUACGUCGAGCGAUG